rnacentral:rRNA from 1 species
GAUGAACGCUAGCUACAGGCUUAACACAUGCAAGUCGAGGGGAAACGACAUCGAAAGCUUGCUUUUGAUGGGCGUCGACCGGCGCACGGGUGAGUAACGCGUAUCCAACCUGCCCACCACUUGGGGAUAACCUUGCGAAAGUAAGACUAAUACCCAAUGAUAUCCCACGAAGACAUCUGAAUGGGAUUAAAGAUUUAUCGGUGAUGGAUGGGGAUGCGUCUGAUUAGCUUGUUGGCGGGGUAACGGCCCACCAAGGCAACGAUCAGUAGGGGUUCUGAGAGGAAGGUCCCCCACAUUGGAACUGAGACACGGUCCAAACUCCUACGGGAGGCAGCAGUGAGGAAUAUUGGUAAAUGGGCGAGAGCCUGAACCAGCCAAGUAGCGUGCAGGAAGACGGCCCUAUGGGUUGUAAACUGCUUUUAUAAGGGAAUAAAGUGGGUCACGUGUGACUUUUUGCAUGUACCUUAUGAAUAAGGACCGGCUAAUUCCGUG